rnacentral:rRNA from 1 species
CAGUCGCCGCGGUAAUACAGAGGGUGCGAGCGUUAAUCGGAUUUACUGGGCGUAAAGCGUGCGUAGGCGGCUAAUUGAGUCGGAUGUGAAAUCCCCGAGCUUAACUUGGGAAUUGCAUUCGAUACUGGUUAGCUAGAGUAUGGGAGAGGAUGGUAGAAUUCCAGGUGUAGCGGUGAAAUGCGUAGAGAUCUGGAGGAAUACCGAUGGCGAAGGCAGCCAUCUGGCCUAAUACUGACGCUGAGGUACGAAAGCAUGGGGAGCAAACAGGAUUAGAUACCCGAGUAGUCCCUGUCUCUUAUAA